GCGGAGGAAGAUGGGGCAGCGGCGGCGCCGCGCGCUACGAGCGGGGACGUGGGCUUGGGCCAGGCGUAGCGUGAACGGCUCUGACUUACUUUGCCCCUGGUACAGGGCCAGCCCGUUGUAAGCGGGAGCGGUGACAGAGCCCUUUGAAAAGGAUUCUUCUGAAGGUCACCCCCAAAGUAAAAGUUCAUUCAUGCUGUGAGCAAGGAGACAUGGCAUUUCUUGGUGAAGGCAAUUCCAAGCUGGUUUCUUCCACUGCUGGUGUUAACUAAAAUACUAAGACCACUUGAUGGGAUUGCUACUCAACUGUGAUGACACUUGCCUGGAGGCGUCAGCCUGUCCCUUUUCUGGGGGAAUUCUGUUUACCCAUGCCCCAAACUUGUCUGGUAAACAUAUUUUAGUUCCAGAUUUCCUUCAUACCUGCAUGAUCCCUUGGAUGUUUACCCUAUAUACAUACCGCAAGAAUAUUAAUGAUCAGUGUUGUUAGUUUUCCAGUGAUACCUUACAUGACACAUCAGAUACAAUUUAUGACAUUAAUGAAUUGGGGCACAGUGAACUGCUUAAACCAGCUGAAACUCAUUACCAGAUACCAUUGAGCCCCUUGCCCUCUGGCACUGGGAUGCUGUUAGGGUCAAACACUCUAAGGCAUGUUUUCUAAUCCUUUAGUCAUUCUCGUGGCACUUUUCUGAACUGUCUCCAAUUUAUCAACAUCCUUCUUGAAUUAUAGGCACCAGAACUGGACACAAUAGUCAGGCAGCAGUUGCACCAGUGCCAAAUACAGAGGUAAAAUAACCUCUCUGCUCCAACUUGUGAUUCCCCUGUUUAUGUAUCCCAGGAUCCUUUUGGCCAUAGCAUCAUGCCAGCUCAGAUUCAGGUGAUUUUUCACCAUGCCUCCCUCCCCAUUUUUUUUGGGGGGGGGGGGGCAGAGUUGCCGCUCUCAGUCCUGGAGUUAAUAACUUAAGAUUUGAGGGGCAGGGCUUAGGCCCCACUCCUCUCCUCAGGAUUUCCUACUGGCUAGCUUAGGCAACUCAGCAGACUGGCGCCGGUGGAUCCCAUUCUUAGGCACCUAACUCUCCCCAUGUCUUAUAUAGGGAACUGGAUACCUAACUCAGGGCUUGGAGGAUUCCACUGGGCAGCAGGGCACAUAAAAGAUGCUGUGCUGCCUACAUCCCUUUGUGGAGCUUGCCCCAAGACAGUUUUUGUAAGUCAGUUGGACUUGGGCAUUUUGAAAAACGUACACUGCCUAGAGACAGCUCUAGGUGGUUAACAUUUUGUGGCUUUUUCCUUUUCUAUAUCUCAGUUUUCCCACCCGCAAAUUGUAACUAGCAUCUCCCUGCUAGGGGUGUUUGUAAAGUGAUUUGAGCUUGUCUAGAGAAGGGAAAAGUGGAGGUGGGGGGGAAAUGAAGCCCAGGGAGGAGUAAGAAAUGUGUUUAGUGGUUCAUAACUAGGACACACCCAGUCAAGUAAAAACAGAAAUCCCACAAAGGGUUUUAGUUAUUCCUCCAGUUCCAAAGAUUUGUGCUUUGUAACCUUUUGCUUUUCUCACAGUGGGAGUUUUUUCAGUCAUACCAUCCUGCACUGUGACCCUAAUAGUUCAAGCUAAGUAGGUAAGGCUGAGUCAGUAUUUGGGUGCAAGAUGCCUAGAAAAUACCUAGUUUGCUGCAGGAAGUGGGGGUGGUAUUUUGUAACUAGUGCUCUUCUCUCAGACUUGGUAUAGAUCCAAUGCCCCAGGAUAAUACUGAGGCACAAGGAGAUUCCUUCUUUCAGAAGAGACAUAACACCCAUGUGAAGAUCUCACAGAACUUUUGUCAGUGAGGGUGUUAGCAGAGAUGACCUGAUCAGAUUUCAUUUCAGGAAAUUACACUCUACCCCCUGCAGUUUGAACUGGUGUGAUGGGGUGCAACUCACCAGUGCAGUGCCUCCUGCUGAUUGUCCCAGGGAUUAGCUCUACUAGCCAGUGCACCCUCUUCUAGUAGUUUCUUGCUGCCAUCACUUCUGCUCCAGGACCCAUCACUCCCAGGACCAUAGCAUCCGCCCCAUAACAGAGCCCUCCGGCUGUACCACAUUCUGUUCUCCCACAUUUCUGGGGGAACUGCAGUCCACUGUCCAGCCACUUCCUUCAGUGGUAACUGCAGCCAAUUGUAUAGCCACUUCCUCAGUGGCCAGGGGUGGGGGAGGAACUGCCCACUAUUCCAGUCCCAGCCCAGGGACCCUGUAGACAGCUACUACUUGCUGCAUCCCCUCUGACUCCUCAGUUAAUUUCCCUAGGCCACUUCCCCUGGGCCCCAGAACCUUCUUUAUCCUUACCUCAGGGCUUUAGCCUGCUAGUCUUAGUAGCUAAACAGGAGCUCUCUCUAGCUUUUCCCAUCUGUCCUGUCGCCGGUGCCUCCUGCUAGGAGCCUGAUGUUACCGCCUGAAGCUCCAGGCAGCUACUGAAGCACCUCUACCCUGUAGUCCUUCUUGUAUAUACCUGCCCAGCCCUCAUUGGCUGCUCCUCACAGCCCCUCUCCUAUUGGCUGCUUUCUGUGCCGCCUCUCUCUCCAUUAACCCCUUACAAGCCAGUGUGGGGGUGGAUGCCCCAUCACAGCUAGACACAAAUCUUAUUCACUGCUUUUCCUACUUGUAUUCUGCUGUUAUACAGCUGUCAUGUCCUACUUCAAUGCAAUGGGGGAAUUUAUAUGUAUAAAUCCUGUUAGCAUCUGUGAGAGUCAUUUGUGUAAAUUUCCAGCUGCUGUGAGGAGAGAAUAUAUUCUUUACACACUGUAAAAUAAAAUUUUAAAAAGCAA